AUUGAACGCUGGCGGUAGGCCUAACACAUGCAAGUCGAGCGAGCGGCGGACGGGUGAGUAAUGUCUGGGAAACUGCCUGAUGGAGGGGGAUAACUACUGGAAACGGUAGCUAAUACCGCAUACCAUCAGAUGUGCCCAGAUGGGAUUAGCUGGUAGGUGGGGUAACGGCUAACCUAGGCGACGAUCCCUAGCUGGUCUGAGAGGAUGAGCAGCAACACUGGAACGUGGACCCGGUCCAGACUCCUACGGAAGGCAGCAGUGGGGAAUAUUGCACAAUGGGGGCAAGCCUGAUGCAGCCAUGCCGCGUGUGUGAAGAAGGCCUUCGGGUUGUAAAGCACUUUCAGCGGGGAGGCGUUACCCACAGAAGAAGCACCGGCUAACUCCGUGCCAGCAGCCGCGGUAAUAC
rnacentral:rRNA from 1 species